GACGAACGCUGGCGGCGUGCUUAACACAUGCAAGUCGAGCGGGGUCCAUCCAGUAGCAAUACUGGUGAAGACCUAGCGGCGAACGGGUGAGUAACACGUGAGCAACCUGCCCCGAAGUCUGGGAUAACACCGGGAAACCGGUGCUAAUACCGGAUGUCCUCACCGAGUCACCUGGCUUGAUGAGGAAAGAUUUAUCGCUUCGGGAGGGGCUCGCGGCCUAUCAGCUUGUUGGCGGGGUAACGGCCACCAAGGCUUCGACGGGUAGCUGGUCUGAGAGGACGACCAGCCACACUGGGACUGAGACACGGCCCAGACUCCUACGGGAGGCAGCAGUGGGGAAUCUUGCGCAAUGGGCGAAAGCCUGACGCAGCAACGCCGC
rnacentral:rRNA from 1 species